rnacentral:lncRNA from 1 species
GCCUGCAGUCCCGCGGGCCUGGUCCCAGGCUGCUUGGGUUGUGCGGGUACCUGGUCCCCCAGGGCGGAGCCGCAGCGCUCCUGGUCUGCGGGACGUGGCCCUGUAGCUGGAACCUGGCGCAACUCAGAGAGCUGUCCUCGCAGAGGCGCUGGUCCCAGACCUGCGGCUCCUACCCCGGCCGGCGCUGGCUGGAGGCUUUAGGUUCAUUCUUGUAAGUGUUGCUGGUGUCAGAAUAGGAACCUCCCUGCGCUUUGAAGGGAUGAAUGUGACCUCUCCCACAUUCUCCGGUGCUGUGAUGUACCUUAAACACAGCAAG